rnacentral:rRNA from 1 species
AGAAUCAACGCUGGCGGCGCGCUUAACACAUGCAAGUCGAACGAGAAAGUCCGCAAGGAUGAGUACAGUGGCGUACGGGUGAGUAACACGUGGAUAAUCUACCUUCGAGUGGGGGAUAACCCUGGGAAACCGGGGCUAAUACCGCAUAAGCCUGAGAAGGGAAAGCCGAAAGGCGCUCAAAGAGGAGUCCGCGGCCGAUUAGCUAGUUGGUAGGGUAAAGGCCUACCAAGGCGAUGAUCGGUAGCCGGCCUGAGAGGGCACGACGGCCACACUGGCACUGAAACACGGGCCAGACUCCUACGGGAGGCAGCAGUGGGGAAUCUUGCACAAUGGAGGAAACUCUGAUGCAGCGACGCCGCGUGAGCGAUGAAGCCCGUUCGGGUGUAAAGCUCUUUCGACGGAACGAUAAUGACGGUACCGGAGAAGAAGCUGCGGCUAACUACGUGACCAGCAGGCCGAC